rnacentral:rRNA from 1 species
UACGGAGGGUGCAAACGUUGCUCGGAAUCAUUGGGCGUAAAGCGCACGUAGGCGGACUGUUAAGUCGGAUGUGAAAUCCCUCAGCUUAACUGAGGAGGUGCACUCGAAACUGGCAGUCUUGAGUAUGGAAGAGGGUCGCGGAAUUCCCGGUGUAGAGGUGAAAUUCGUAGAUAUCGGGAGGAACACCAGUGGCGAGGCGGCGACCUGGGCCAAUACUGACGCUGAGGUGCGAAAGCGUGGGGAGCAAACAGG